rnacentral:rRNA from 1 species
UACGGGGGGGGCAAGCGUUGUUCGGAAUUACUGGGCGUAAAGGGCUCGUAGGUGGCCAACUAAGUCAGACGUGAAAUCCCUCGGCUUAACCGGGGAACUGCAUCUGAUACUGGAUGGCUGGAGAUUGGGAGAGGGAUGCGGAAUUCCAGGUGUAGCGGUGAAAUGCGUAGAUAUCUGGAGGAACACCGGUGGCGAAGGCGGCAUCCUGGACCAACACUGACGCUGAGGAGCGAAAGCCAGGGGAGCAAACGGA